rnacentral:tRNA from 1 species
GCCUGGUUAGCUUAGUUGGUAGUGCGUCUGCCUUGUAAGCGCUAGGCCGCGGGUUCGAUUCUCGCCCGGGGCG